AACGUAGGUACCGAGCGUUAUCCGGAUUUACUGGGCGUAAAGAGCGCGCAGGCGGUCGUUCAAGUCGCGUGUGAAAGCCCCCGGCUCAACUGGGGAGGGUCACGCGAUACUGAUCGACUCGAAGGCAGGAGAGGGUAGUGGAAUUCCCGGUGUAGUGGUGAAAUGCGUAGAUAUCGGGAGGAACACCAGUGGCGAAGGCGACUACCUGGCCUGUUCUUGACGCUGAGGCGCGAAAGCUAGGGGAGCAAACGGG
rnacentral:rRNA from 1 species